UACGGGGGGGGCAAGCGUUGUUCGGAAUUACUGGGCGUAAAGGGCGCGCAGGCGGCCACGCACGUCCGUUGUGAAAUCGCUCGGCUCAACUGGGCGGGGUCAGCGGAUACGGCGUGGCUGGAGCAAGCUAGGGGGCAAUGGAAUUCCCGGUGUAGUGGUGGAAUGCGUAGAUAUCGGGAGGAACACCAGUGGCGAAGGCGGUUGCCUGGAGCUUUGCUGACGCUGAGGCGCGAAAGCGUGGGGAGCGAUCCGG
rnacentral:rRNA from 1 species